UUGACCUCGGAUCAGGUAGGGAUACCCGCUGAACUUAAGCAUAUCAAUAAGCGGAGGAAAAGAAACCAACAGGGAUUGCCUCAGUAACGGCGAGUGAAGCGGCAACAGCUCAAAUUUGAAAUCUGGCUCUUUCAGGGUCCGAGUUGUAAUUUGUAGAAGAUGCUUUGGGUGUGGCUCCGGUCUAAGUUCCUUGGAACAGGACGUCAUAGAGGGUGAGAAUCCCGUACGUGACUGGUUGCCUCCGCCCGUGUAAAGCUCUUUCGACGAGUCGAGUUGUUUGGGAAUGCAGCUCAAAAUGGGUGGUAAAUUUCAUCUAAAGCUAAAUAUUGGCCAGAGACCGAUAGCGCACAAGUAGAGUGAUCGAAAGAUGAAAAGCACUUUGGAAAGAGAGUUAAACAGUACGUGAAAUUGUUGAAAGGGAAGCGCUUGCAACCAGACUUGCAUGCGGUUGAUCAUCCGAGCUUUUGCCCGGUGCACUCGAUCGUAUUCAGGCCAGCAUCGGUUUUGGUGGGCGGAUAAAGGCCUUGGGAAUGUAGCUUCCUUCGGGGAGUGUUAUAGCCCUCGGUGCAAUGCGCCCUACCGGGACCGAGGACCGCGCUCGGCUAGGAUGCUGCGUA
rnacentral:rRNA from 1 species